rnacentral:rRNA from 1 species
AUUGAACGCUGGCGGCAGGCCUAACACAUGCAAGUCGAGCGGAUGAGAGGGGCUUGCUCCUCGAUUCAGCGGCGGACGGGUGAGUAAUGCCUAGGAAUCUGCCUAGUAGUGGGGGACAACGUUUCGAAAGGAACGCUAAUACCGCAUACGUCCUACGGGAGAAAGUGGGGGAUCUUCGGACCUCACGCUAUUAGAUGAGCCUAGGUCGGAUUAGCUAGUUGGUAGGGUAACGGCCUACCAAGGCGACGAUCCGUAACUGGUCUGAGAGGAUGAUCAGUCACACUGGAACGGAGACACGGUCCAGACUCCUACGGGAGGCAGCAGUGGGGAAUAUUGGACAAUGGGCGAAAGCCUGAUCCAGCCAUGCCGCGUGUGUGAAGAAGGCCCUCGGGUCGUAAAGCACUUUAAGUUGGGAGGAAGGGCUUACAGCGAAUACCUGUGAGUUUUGACGUUACCGACAGAAUAAGCACCGGCUAACUUCGUGCCAGCAGCCGCCGUAA